rnacentral:rRNA from 1 species
AAUAAGGAACUAAGAAAGAAAAAGUCGUAACAAGGUCUCCGUUGGUGAACCAGCGGAGGGAUCAUUA